rnacentral:rRNA from 1 species
UACAGAGGGUGCGAGCGUUGUUCGGAAUUACUGGGCGUAAAGCGCGCGCAGGCGGCCCUUUAAGUCUACCCGUGAAAUGCCGGAGCUCAACUCCGUGCACGCCGGGGGAUACUGGGGGGCUGGAGACAUGUAGAGGCAAGCGGAAUUCCGGGUGUAGCGGUGGAAUGCGUAGAUAUCCGGAAGAACACCUGAGGCGAAGGCGGCUUGCUGGGCAUGAUCUGACGCUGAGGCGCGAAAGCGUGGGGAGCGAACAGG